rnacentral:rRNA from 1 species
UACGGGGGAGCAAGCGUUGUUCGGAUUUACUGGGCGUAAAGGGCGCGUAGGCGGUCAGCACAAGUCAGUUGUGAAAUCUCCGGGCUUAACUCGGAAAGGUCAACUGAUACUGUGCGACUAGAGUGCAGAAGGGGCAACUGGAAUUCUCGGUGUAGCGGUGAAAUGCGUAGAUAUCGAGAGGAACACCUGCGGCGAAGGCGGGUUGCUGGGCUGACACUGACGCUGAUGCGCGAAAGCCAGGGGAGCGAACAGG